rnacentral:rRNA from 1 species
UACGUCGGUGGCAAGCGUUGUCCGGAUUUACUGGGCGUAAAGAGCGCGCAGGCGGUCGUUCAAGUCGCGUGUGAAAGCCCCCGGCUCAACUGGGGAGGGUCACGCGAUACUGAUCGACUCGAAGGCAGGAGAGGGUAGUGGAAUUCCCGGUGUAGUGGUGAAAUGCGUAGAUAUCGGGAGGAACACCAGUGGCGAAGGCGACUACCUGGCCUGUUUCUUGACGCUGAGGCGCGAAAGCUAGGGGAGCAAACGGG